GGCUCCACAGUGUAGUGGUUAGCACGUCUACUUUACAUGCAGAAGGCCCUGGGAUCGCGCCCUAGAUAGAGCCA
rnacentral:tRNA from 1 species